AGCGAACGCUGGCGGCAGGCUUAACACAUGCAAGUCGAGCGGGCACUUUCGGGUGUCAGCGGCGGACGGGUGAGUAACGCGUGGGAACGUGCCCUCUGGUUCGGAAUAACUCAGGGAAACUUGAGCUAAUACCGGAUACGCCCUUUUGGGGAAAGGCUUGCUGCCGGAGGAUCGGCCCGCGUCUGAUUAGCUAGUUGGUGAGGUAACGGCUCACCAAGGCGACGAUCAGUAGCUGGUCUGAGAGGAUGAUCAGCCACACUGGGACUGAGACACGGCCCAGACUCCUACGGGAGGCAGCAGUGGGGAAUAUGGGACAAUGGGCGCAAGCCUGAUCCAGCCAGGCCGCGUGAGUGAUGAAGGCCUUAGGGUUGUAAAGCUCUUUUAUCCGGGACGAUAAUGACGGUACCGGAGGAAUAAGCCCCGGCUAACUUCGU
rnacentral:rRNA from 1 species